GAUGAACGCUGGCGGCGUGCCUAAUACAUGCAAGUCGAGCGAAUGGAUUAAGAGCUUGCUCUUAUGAAGUUAGCGGCGGACGGGUGAGUAACACGUGGGUAACCUGCCCAUAAGACUGGGAUAACUCCGGGAAACCGGGGCCAAUACCGGAUGACAUUUUGAACCGCAUGGUUCGAAAUUGAAAGGCGGCUUCGGCUGUCACUUAUGGAUGGACCCGCGUCGCAUUAGCUAGUUGGUGAGGUAACGGCUCACCAAGGCAACGAUGCGUAGCCGACCUGAGAGGGGGAUCGGCCACACUGGGACAGAGACACGGCCGAGAGUCCUACGGGCGGCAGCGGUAGGGAAUCUUCCGCAAUGGACGAAAGUCUAACGGAGCAACGCAGCGUGAGUGAUGAAGGCGUUCGGGUCGUAAGACUCUGUUGUUAGGGAAGAACAAGUGCUAGUUGAAUAAGCUGGCACCUUGACGGUACCUAACCAGAAAGCCACGGCUAACUACGUGCCAGCCGCCGCAGUAA
rnacentral:rRNA from 1 species